GUCCAGACUCCUACGGGAGGCAGCAGUGAGGAAUAUUGGUCAAUGGGCGCAAGCCUGAACCAGCCAAGUCGCGUGAGGGAAGACGGCCCUACGGGUUGUAAACCUCUUUUGCCGGGGAGCAAGCCUGAGCACGUGUGCCCAGGCGGAGAGUACCCGGAGAAAAAGCAUCGGCUAACUCCGUGCCAGCAGCCGCGGUAAUACGGAGGAUGCGAGCGUUAUCCGGAUUUAUUGGGUUUAAAGGGUGCGUAGGCGGGUUAUCAAGUCAGCGGUAAAAUCGUGGAGCUCAACUCCAUCCAGCCGUUGAAACUGAUGAUCUUGAGUGGGCGAGAAGUAUGUGGAAUGCGUGGUGUAGCGGUGAAAUGCAUAGAUAUCACGCAGAACUCCGAUUGCGAAGGCAGCAUACCGGCGCCCAACUGACGCUGAAGCACGAAAGCGUGGGUAUCGAACAGGAUUAGAUCCCCCAGUA
rnacentral:rRNA from 1 species